rnacentral:lncRNA from 1 species
GGAGGACCCGGACAGCACACCCCACCCUCACCUGAAGCACGCAGAGGUGCAGGAGACAGAAGAUUUUGGGGAAUCCCCAAGGAGAGAGUGCAAUGUCUGCUGAACAAUGAUAUACCUACACGGCCACCAGCAAGAAGAAAGAAUGGUUGUCAAAAUCCUGCUACUCAGAGAAGUAGGCAUGGUGGGUGGGGGUACCUGGAAAAAAAGGAAGCAUGAAGGGCCAAGCUCAGCUGCUACAGAUGAAAGCAGACCAUGAGAGGCACGAGGCCAAAAUAGAGUGAGUAGGAGUCACUGGUUGAUGAUGUUAUUGGUCUGAGGAGCUACAGAAUCUGGGAGAUGAGGAGACAAAGGAUGAUCGAGGCUGGAAAGAAAGUAGAAAGCAGAGGUCAGAUGAGUCACGCCUGAGGUAACAUUUGCUGAGUCUUGUCCUGGAUGUCAGUUCUUUUUCACCCAUGAAAUCACAGCGGCUAGAUCCUGCAAUAUUGCCAAACAGUCACUGCAAAGUGGGAGGGACACUCGUCACAACCAUCCUCCCAAGCUGCAGCUCAGAGCCAGAAAAGAACUUGUUUUGUGAUGCUCAGUUCUAAUGAAGUAGUAGAGUUGAGACCCAAAUCUCCAAGUCCUGACUCUCAAUCCUGUUAUCUUUUCACCAUGACAGACCCCUGUACACCUUGCCAGACCCCAAUGCCUCCCCCACCCUUUGUUUGUAAAACCAAAUGAUUCCUUUAAGGCAAAAGGAGAAGGAGAUGAGUUGGUGGCCUAUGAGAAAAGCAGGGUUGACGAACAUUUUAUCUCCAGAGCUUCUGUGAGGACAACCAAGUGAGUGACGUCUCCUCUCCCCAGCCCCCUCCCUUUCUCCACUUCUC